rnacentral:rRNA from 2 species
AGGCUCGUGAUUGGGACUAAGUCGUAACAAGGUAGCCGUACCGGAAGGUGCGGCUGGAUCACCUCCUUUCUACGGAG